GGCUCCGCCCCCGGCCGGAAAGUGACUCCAAAGCCACAACGCGUUGUUGACGAUAGAAGUCUAGGUUGGGUGAAGGAUCCGAGAAGGCCCUCCCAGAUUCGGGCUCCCAGCCCCAGGCCCCUGGGGCGCGGGAGAAGCGCGGGCCCCUCCUCCCCCGCCGCGGGCACCUAGAAGAACAGGCGGAACUCGCGCCUUUGGCGGACUCCAGGUAGAAGCCAUGUCUACUUGGGGGCUUGCCUCCCCGACUCCCGACCGCUUUGCGGUGUCUGCGGAGGCCGAGGACAAGGUUCGGGAGCAGCAGGCUCGCUUGGAGCGUAUCUUCAGCGUGGGAAUGAGCGUGCUUUCCAAAGACUGUCCAGAGAACCCUCAUAUCUGGUUGCAGCUUGAGGGUCCCAAGGAGAACGUCUGCAGAGCCAAGGAAUACCUGAAGGGGCUCUGCAGCCCAGAACUACAGAGUGAGAUCCACUACCCACCCAGACUACACUGCAUCUUUCUGGGAGCCCAAGGUUUCUUCCUUGACUGCUUGGCCUGGAGCACAUCUGCCCACCUGGUGCCUCUGGUCCCUGGCUCUCUGAUGAUCAGUGGCCUAACCGAGGCGUUUGUGAUGGCCCAGAGCCGGGUGGAGGAGUUAGUGCAACGGCUAAGCUGGGACCUUCAGCUACAGUCUUUUCCGGGAGGCCCUGACAGUGGCGGAGUGCUGAGAGACUUCUCUGCCCUGCUGCAGACUCGGGAGGAUGCCCACACAGAGGCCCUGCUGCGGCUGCCCCUGGCCGUGCAGGAGGAGCUUCUAAGCCUGGUGCAGGAGGCAUCCAGAGGGCAGGGUCCGUCUCGCGAGGUGGGGAGCCCAGGCCUGUUGAGUCCUCAGUUCCAGGGAGUCAGAGCUCCCUUGAAUGAAGGCAGGGACUCCGUGGGCACCGGAGUGGCAGGGUCGGGAAAGUCUCGAGCAGUAAGAGGUCAAAGUCAUACUGUGGAGAAGGAGGGAAGGAAACAGGAUGCUGUCAGGGACAUGGGUUCAGGGCGGAAGGAGCUGUCUGGGGAAGAGGUCUGGGAGACAGGAGUGACUUACAGGUCACAGUUAGCAAGUGGAGGAGCAGAGGAGGUAGCACCCUUGAGAGGAAAGGCCUUGGGGAAACAGGAGCUUCCUCAGCAAAGAGGAGGGUUCAAUGUGCAGGGUGAACCUUCUGGUGCGCAUGUGCCCUGUCAGAGGGCAGCUCCAACCCGGGGAGCCUCUCUCCUCCAGCGGCUCCAUAAUGGGAGCGCCUCACCUCCGAGAGUGCCUAGCCCCCCGCCCGCGCCGGAACCCCCGUGGCCCUGUGGAGACCGAGACCGAGACAGAGAUCGAGAUCGGGGAGACAGGGGAGACAAGCAGCAGGCUGGGGCUCGAGGCCGAGGGUCUCCGUGGAAGCGAGGCACUCGUGGGGGCAACUUGGUGACUGGCACGCAGCGUUUCCAGGAAGCCUUACAGGAUCCUUUCGCCCUGUGCCUUGCCAAUGUGCCUGGCCAGCCAGAUCUCCGUCACAUUGUCAUUGAUGGCAGCAACGUGGCCAUGGUGCACGGACUCCAGCAUUACUUUUCCAGUCGGGGUAUUGCUCUCGCUGUGCAGUACUUCUGGGACCGUGGCCACCGUGACAUAACCGUCUUUGUGCCUCAGUGGCGCUUCAGUAAAGAUUCCAAGGUCAGAGAGAGUCACUUCCUGCAGAAGCUGUACUCCCUGAGUCUGCUUUCUCUGACACCCUCUCGAGUCAUGGAUGGCAAGAGGAUUUCUUCUUAUGAUGACAGGUUCAUGGUGAAGCUGGCUGAAGAAACGGACGGGAUCAUUGUCUCCAAUGACCAGUUCCGGGAUCUGGCUGAGGAGUCCGACAAGUGGAUGGCCAUCAUCAGAGAGCGGUGAGAGAAUAGGGCACCGGCUCACACCUUUCUCUAAACCAGCUCUUCUCUGGCCACUGGCCUGCUGCCCUUCACCUUUGUGGGGAACCUCUUCAUGGUCCCAGAUGACCCACUGGGGCGAAAUGGCCCCACCCUGGAUGAGUUCCUGAAGAAGCCAGUCAGGAAACAGGGCUCUUCUAAGUCUCAGCAGCCCUCCAAAGGUUCCACAGAACAAGCUCAUGAGCAGCAGGGGAAGGAAGUGGAAAGGAGCAAUGGUGGCAUUCGGAAGACCCGGGAGACAGAGCGGCUGCGGCGCCAGCUGCUCGAGGUCUUUUGGGGUCAGGACCACAAGGUGGACUUCAUCCUGCAGCGGGAACCGUACUGCCGGGAUAUUAACCAGCUUUCUGAGGCCCUGCUGAGUCUCAACUUCUGAGCCUUUUCUGCCCUGCAUAGCUGCUGCCCUAUUAGAAGUCAGCCUCCCCCAGCCCUGCCCCUUCUUACAGUCCCUCUGCCGCUUAGACCAUGGCCCAGACCCACUCUAAGAUGGUGCUUUGGCCAGAGGAAGCACCAGAGAAGAGAGUUUGAGUGUGGGAAUACUCUUGGCUGGGGUACUUUGAGGACAGGUCCUUAAAAUGACUUAACCUGAGGGAGGACCGCGAAGCCAGCUCUUAGGAGGUUUUGAUCAGUCUCAGCUCCUUAACUCUGCCCUUACAGAGGCCUUCUGCAGGGUGUAGAGGCUGUUCCUGGAGACUGCGCCUGUGGCUUUACUACCAAGUUCCUUAGUUGGAGGAUAGGGUAGGCUGGAGGUGACAAAAAGGCUAAGCUGAGAAAUCAAGCGUCCUCUGACUGCUCCUCUGAGUGGUAGGAUAGGCUGAGCUGUCCCCUGGCGUGUCUGGAGGAAUGCUGGCUCCCAGAGGGGUCACAGCACUAUGUGGGCUGUUGCAGUUGGCCAGCUGAGAACCAGAAAGCAGAGGUGGGCAGGCUUCCAGUCUCAGUUGUGCCUGCCUGUGACCUUGACAGAGUUGCUUGGCCUUUACUUAUGUCUAUACAUCAGGCAUAAAGAUAACUGUUGAGGGAAAUGAGAACAGAGAAGGAGGCUCCCAUGAGGACCUGUACUUGGGUCAUGGCUCAGGCGUGUCUGCCUGUGGCUGGCUGCUCAGGCUCCCUAGCCAGAACUUCACAUUCAGAGAUGUCCACUGUCCACUCCCUCGAUGUUAUCGCUGGGCUUUCAGUAGAACAUGCCCUGUAAAUGGCUGCAUCCCUUUCCAGCAAUCUUCGAAAAUCAUGUUAACAAAAUAGUCAAGUUAGGGUGGACGGUUGCAUUACUUAAAUACUCUCAGGGCUCCUAUAAAUGGCAGCUGCUCAGUUGCAUUUCAAGUGUUUGUUUACAGAUUGACAAGGCCCUGGUUAAAUCUUCUUUUUGGUGUUGAGCCUAUUCACCAAACCCAUGAUGUCAUAAUUGGCAGUGACAAUGUUAGUGGGAUCUAUCUAAUAUUUCCUUUAUGGAAGACAGGUUUCAUUUGGCAAGACACACCGCUACAUCGUGUGUAUGGGAAGCAGAAGCUGAAGCGUCAGGAUCGAGAUACCUGAUUGGUUACAGACCGACUCCAUUGACCUGUCAUGACAAGCUGUUUACAUUCUAACUCCCACAAGUCAUUGCUCUGUAUUUGUUUGAACUCUUUCUUGUCUGUGCCGGAGAAUGUACUGUCUGCAAGGUGGCACAUUUCUUACUUGGAUGUGUUAAUCAGUUUUUUUCCUAGUGUAGUCUAACCUGCUUCUCUGUUACUUUUACCUUCCCCAGGAGUAAUUUAGGGCUAGUCAACUUCUUAGAGGCCAGAGUCAGAUAGAGGUAUAAAAAGGUAAGGCAGGUGCCACUGGGUUCAUGUAGCAGGUCCCUGAAUUAGAUGCUUUUCUGGUUCUGACUUAUCCCAAGUGACAUGGAGUUAACUAUGUGGCUCUCUGGGUCUCAGUGUCUUUGUCUGUUUCGUUGGGUGAUUUUCAUUUCACACCAGAUUGAUUAGGUGUUGGGGACAAGUUGAUUAGGGAAAUGAUAAGGGAGAAGAGGAGAAUGGUCUGGACUGGGGACUGGUAGAGCUGGUUUUUAAGCUUAGGCCUGGUGUCUUCUCUUUUCUCUUGCCAUGAUGGUGGGUGUACAGAAGGAUGGGGUAUAUCUUCCCUUCCCCAAGAGCCCUGGAAGGCUGAAUGAUCCCGAGAGACCAAGCUUAUAGAGUGACAGUGACUUUGUCUUACCGCAGUAUGACGAGCUAGGACCUGCACGCGUUUACAAUAUUAAUUCAUGGCUGUUUGGUAAAUGCUGAAGGCUAACCCACAGGGCCCUUUCUUUUUGCUGGCAUCCUCUGAACAGGUGGUCAGGGUGACACCAGAAUUCACUGGAGUUAGAUCUUUAUAUAUAUAUUGUCUUUAAUCUGUCAUAACCUCAUGUCUCACCAGCUCAUUUGGAAAGAGAGACUGAAAAAGGAAAAGAUGAGGAGAGAGGUUGCAUAUUAAAACGUUCAGAAUCCAGCUUAGGAGAAGAGCCGUGUAGGGUAAUAGUUCUUAAGACAAUUCUAGGGGACUAUAAGCCAAAGAGACAGCUGAAGCCAGUGAUCUAGCAUCCUAAUCUGUCUUUACUGCCAUAACUGUAGAACUUUGUCUACACAGCAUAUAGGAGAACCAGGGCAGCAAUGUGACACAGAAGCCACAGGAAGCUGAAGAGGUGACAGAAUGAAAUUAUAUCCUUGAGACUGGAGUUUCUCAGAUAGGGGUGGAUCAACAGAACAUGGGAAGAAAGUGAGGGGGGCAGAGUCUAAGAUCCAGAUGGCGUCUGAUCUCAAUCAAGUGCAGGGAUCACCUGACCCACUUCUCAGAAUGCAGGGACAGCCCCAGCUCCUGCCUUGGGGCUUCUUCUCUGCUCAGGCUACAACAUCCUUCAAGGCAGCCCUCAGCUCUGGGAAGGAGUACUGGUAGCCAGUGGCCAGUGUCCGCCGAGGGACCACUUUCUGCCCUUCCAACAGCAUGAUGGCACGUUCUCCAAAGACUGCUCGUACCACAGUGCUGGGGACAGGUAUGAAGGCUGGGCGGCCCAGGGCGGCACCCAAGGCUUGGGCAAACUCAGCAUUAGUAGUUGUAGAUGCUGGAGCCACUCCAUUCAGGACUCCUUGGACAUGGUUUGCUUCAAGGGCAUAAGUCAGAAUUCCUGCCAAGUCACCAAUGUGUAUCCAGGGGAAGAAUUGGCGACCUGAACCAAUGGGGCCUCCUAGGCCCAGGCGGAAGGGCAGAAGCAUGUGACUGAUGGCGCCACCUCCAUGGCCCAGCACAACCCCUAAAGUAGACAGAGAGGUGGUACAGGGAGGUUGCUUAGCCUUGGAAAUUUGCACUACUACUCCGCUUCCCCUUCUCCCUUCCUCACGGUCUUUCCGUGUGCACGUGGAAUGGACAGAGUUGAGGGCUGUGGGUCUUUUGGGAUUUUUCCCCUCUGUAUGCUAGCUAAAGUGGUGGUGUCCUCUCCCCGCAAGCUCAGCCCUCCUCAGCCCAGGAAUCAUCCACGUUGCCUGGUUCCCAGGCCCUUGGUCCUUACCUGAACGAACCACGACCUGGCGUGUAGACUCUCCAGGAAGCCUGGCUGCUGCUUCCCAUCUGGUUACCAGGUUGGAGAAAAAGUCAAAAUCCCCUCCUGGGCUGUCUUCAUCGUACUCCUUAGUCAGGCUUGGCUGGUAGUAAGCUGUCAUGGAAGAGCGUUCGUUUGCUCUGGCGGUCCCUGGCCUGCUGGGCCCUUUGCAGUGGAAGGCUCCUUAGCCUCAGUCUCCUCUGCCCUUUGGGUUUCCACAGGAGUAGAAAGAACCAUAGUUGUUUCCCCCUUGAGCUUCUCCGUGUGUCCGUGCCUGAACAUCUAGCUUUUGGCUGUCAGGCUGUGUCCAGAGGCCGCUAGCUUGUAGUGGGUAGGGACAGAAACAUAGGUGCUAAGCUGCUUGAACUCUACCAUUCUUGACAUCUGUGACUUUUGUUUUUUGGCAAGUUACUUCUCCGUAUGAAAAAAAUCAGCAUCUUCAGUAUGGGAGUAACUGUACCUACCUCAUAAAGUUGUACGGAUUAAAUAAUAUGUAUAAAAUAGUA